rnacentral:misc_RNA from 1 species
GAUGAAGAACGUUAGCGAAAUGCGAUACGUAAUGUGAAUUGCAGAAUUCAGUGAAUCAUCGAGUCUUUGAACGCACAUUGCGCCCCCUGGUAUUCCGGGGGGCAUGCCUGUCCGAGCGUCAUUGCUGCCCUCAAGCCCGGCUUGUGUGUUGGGUCUCGUCCCCCUUCCCGGGGGGACGGGCCCGAAAGGCAGCGGCGGCACCGCGUCCGGUCCUCGAGCGUAUGGGGCUUUGUCACCCGCUCUGUAGGCCCGGCCGGCGCUUGCCGAUCAACCAAAACUUUUUUCCAGGUUGACCUCGGAUCAGGUAGGGAUACCCGCUGAACUUAAGCAUAUCAAUAAGCGGAGGA